CCUACGGCAGGCUGCAGUGGGGAAUAUUGGACAAUGGGCGAAAGCCUGAUCCAGCCAUGCCGCGUGUGUGAAGAAGGCCUUCGGGUUGUAAAGCACUUUCAGUGGGGAAGAAAGCCUUGGGGCUAAUACCCUCGAGGAAGGACAUCACCCACAGAAGAAGCACCGGCUAACUCCGUGCCAGCAGCCGCGGUAAUACGGAGGGUGCGAGCGUUAAUCGGAAUUACUGGGCGUAAAGCGCGCGUAGGCGGUCUGAUAAGCCGGUUGUGAAAGCCCCGGGCUCAACCUGGGAACGGCAUCCGGAACUGUCAGGCUAGAGUGCAGGAGAGGAAGGUAGAAUUCCCGGUGUAGCGGUGAAAUGCGUAGAGAUCGGGAGGAAUACCAGUGGCGAAGGCGGCCUUCUGGACUGACACUGACGCUGAGGUGCGAAAGCGUGGGUAGCAAACAGGAUUAGAUACCCUUGUAGUC
rnacentral:rRNA from 1 species